UCAGUCUGCUGUUGUGUCAGUAUUCUUGCUUCCACAUGGGACGCGUCUUUUUCCCCCCGGAAAGUCGCAAAAUCGCAUCGGGCUUGAUGUGUGUAUAGUCAGACGCGACAAAGUUCUCCUCCGGAUAUUUCGUAAUUUCGAGUUCUAUAUUCGCGUCGGCCCCGGUGUAUAUGGACCUUUAGUUGUGCAGGUAAGUUUAGUUUUACAUGUUGAAUUGGUGGAACUGUUCUUCCUAGAGUCCUCAUCCAUGUCAGUCAGACUUAGAUCUGUACUCAGCAGCAUUUGUCUUGUUCAUUUGUCCUGUUUGUAUUUUCCUUUCUCACUUUAUUUCUGUUACUUCUUUUGCAGCUGACUGACUCACAAGACGCAAAAUCAGCACCCAGUGAAUGAUGCUUGUGAAUGACAGUGAGCUUUAAAUCCUGCUGAUAUGACACUUUCUCCCAGCAAACAAAAACAUGUCUGUCGCUAAACACGAUCAAGUGAACGCCCCUCCCCAGAGUGAGCCAGAGAGCAAGAAGGAGAGUAAAAAAGCUGAAGUGAGAGAGAGAGAGAGAGAGAGACAGGUGGUCAGGCCGGUCUUUUCCUUGCCCUCCGCUCCUUUUUGAACUUUUCUUUCAUUCUUCCAGUUCAUUCUGUCCUUCUCUCCAUAGCGCCAGUGACAAGGCGCUCCAUUCACUGCCUCAUUCUUCCACCCCUCCCCUCAUCCCUCCACCCCGACCCCCAUCCCCUCCCUCCCCGGCUCCUUUGUCUAGCUUGCGGGGGCCUGCUUUAGUUGCUAUUCACCAGCCAGACGGACCGCCAUUGACUGGACCCCCCUCCUUCCUACCCCCCCUGACAUCCCUCCCCUCCGACAAACACCCCUCACACACAUAUGCACACAGCAACCUGGCCGGUCCCCACCCUAUGCCCUGUAUCAGGCAGCUGCUAUGCUAAUAGGGAGGAAGGGAUAGAUGGAGGAGAGAGGGAGGGAGGGAGGGAUGAGAGGGAGAGACAGAGCAGCCAGCCUAUAGUAAAGGGACAGAGAGGGAGGGAGAGCAAGGAGAGUGACCCCGCUCCUCCAUCUCCAUAGCCAUGCCAGAGCAGCAGCAGACCUCCUGUUACACAAAGGGAGUCCCCCGGCUCCCCCCUCUCCCCCUCCUCCCUUCACCCCUCUGUUCCCCUCUUUCUCAUUCAAAUCCAUUUUAUACCCCAGUGGUAAAGGGAGCUGUAAGUGCAGUAUGUAAAGUAACCUUACUCCUGCCCUGCGGGCGUAACCAUUGAACACACAGAGAACAGCCUGUGUGUGUGUGUGUGUGUAUGUGUGUGUGUGUGUGUGUCUCCAUUCCCCUGCUUUGUUUAGGACUGCAGCCCAUACUUCCACACACACACACACACCUGCCCUUGAGUCGCGUUGCAUCUCUUCCUCAUGGUCAAAUAGUGCCACACUGGAGAUUUGCAUUCUUUAAACACACCAGUUGAAACAAGAACCAACUGUUGUUUGAUGUCGAGUCCUUUAAACUGAAGAAAAUUAACAUCUUCACUGAGCUACAAAUAAUGCAAUAACUGCUCACGACUGUAGAAGUGAACUCGAGUCAACUCAUCAUUUUUCAGGUAUACUGAGGUAUGUUUAUAAUUGUUUUUCUGGCACAUAUUUGAUAAAUAUGGUUUGAUGCAGACACUGUUUUUGUGAAGAAAAAACAUCUACAUAAAUGAACAUCUACAGAGAAAGCUUCAGAUAUAUGCCCUAGUAUAGAAUUAAUGCACCACAUAGUUGAAUCAAACUUCUCUGCUGAUGUGACUUCUGUUUAGUUUUUGCUGAGCAGACGAAAACUGUGCAGCACCAUCAUCAUUUACUGAAUAUUUCAAAAAGCAUCUUUAAUUGGAAAAGCAUCAGUCCAAUUAGUAAUAUAAGCCGUGACAUCACCAUGGCUGUUAUACAGUUUAUAAUGAUCAAGUUGCUGAGUGGCAAUAUGUAAAAGUUCAAGAAGUAAAGGACCUGAAUUGAACCCUUAGGGACACCAUGAUUGAUUUUUCCAGAUUUAGAAAUGGUACAGGUACAUUUGUGUCUGCAGUUUUCUUUUUCCAGUAAAGUUAACAUCUCAUAUGGAAUAUUUCGGGGCAGUGCAGAGAUUGGGGGCAGGGGAAUUUCUCUCUCAAUCUCUUCCCCUUGUCUUUCUCUGUCCCUCCUGUUCUGUUAUUUACCCCUGUGCAGUGUGACCCUGUGCCCCGUCAGGGAGGCACGUCCUAUUUGACAUCUGCCUGUUUGCAGGAGGGGGGGGUUUACAAAGGGUGGGGUGCCCAUAUGGAGCCUCAACACCCCCCACCACCAGUCCACACCCGUCCCAACCUUCCCCCGUCCCUGGUACUCACACACACGCACACACACAAUUCCAACACAACAUCUCCUUCUGCUUGCACCCUUUGUUCCUCGGGUGCUGUGUGUCAGAGAGACGUCACACAAUUCCAACACACAGAGCUGCAGAAAGCCAGGUGGAGAGACAGAGGAGUAAGGGUUGGGUUUAGACCUCAAUCUUUGCUCACCUUCUUUCAAAAACCCCCUGACAUGUAAAACCAGCGUCUGAACACAGCUUCUUGUUAAUAUUCAUAAGACAAUUAAGAGCUGAAUCCUACAACAGAGAGGGCUGACGAUUGUUUCUAUCACGGUAUCAAGGGUGAAAGUUAGCCAAACACUUCACUCCAUGUGAUAAAUUUAGGCAGUGCUGCAGAAGGAAAGCUCUUCCUUCUUAUAGAUAAACAGCAAAAAGCUCCAGUGUUUAGAUGAAUUCAUUGUGUCGACCGAAUGUGGAUAUGUUGACUUUCCUCUAUCUGUCAAGCAUGAGCAGAAGCAAUCUGUACAUUUACUUCUUCUGGGUUCAGAACUCUGCAGAAAUCCACCUAUAUUAACAGAGCUGUAAAUCCUGUUAUUACUUUCCCUCCAUCAAUAAGAAACAUACUAGAGAGACGAUCACUUGAAUAGAAAUCAACGUGUUCAUAACUGUCAUGAAAGCAAGUUAUUGAAACAUUUAUUCGAGGUGUUUUAACCUCAAGGUGUAUUAACCUGAAAGUAUUUGCUCCACCAACAGGAAGUAAUACCUCGGUCCAACUUGUUAUGCAGUCCAUAAGUCAUAGAUAAUGCAAGAAGAUAGCUUUACAUAGAUAGAUAGAUAGAUAGAUAGAUAGAUAGAUAGAUAGAUAGAUAGAUAGAUAGAUAGAUAGAUAGAUAGAUAGAUAGGUAGGUAGGUAGGUAGGUAGCUAGGUAGGUAGGUAGGUAGGUAGAAUUUCCCUUUGGGGAUCAAUAAAGCUCUUCUUAUCUUAUCUUAAGGGGUGUCAUCCCGAUCUUAGACCAGCAUUUGUCCAAAGUCAGCCAAUGUGGUUGUGUUGAUCACUGCACCACAAACAACAAGCCCAAGCUGAUCUUACAAGUGUUUGAUGGGGUUGAGCCCAGGACUGCUGACAGGCCAUUCCACCCUCUCCACUCCCAAAUUCAGGAGGUAGUCUCUGAUAAACCUGACUCUGUGGGGGCAAGUAUUGUCAUCUUGGAGGGUAGAGUUUAAUCCCUGACUGUGGAGAUAAAGGAUUGCCACUGGUUGCAGAAUCUCAUCUUGAUAUCUCUCUGCAUUGAGAUUAAUGCUGCAAUUUUUGCCCUAUCUAGAUUAGUCAGUUGUGGCAUUAUUGGUUCUUGGUAAAGACACCUAUGGUCCACUGUAGCAGGGCCUAAGCUCACAGAUGCUGACAAUCAGACACCUGGGUGUACCAGAAGCUCAAAACAAGAGUCAGUGGCAAAGCAAAAUAAGCUGUUUGGCAACUUUUUCAUGGGGGAAACCCACAUACUCUGUUCUGCUGCUCAUCUCACUCACAAUAAUCGAACACAAUUUAUCUUACUUUUUGAGCUGAGCUUAGAUAGAGCUCAAGCUCUGCUAGCUUCGAUGAUUCUACCUGCUUGCAAAGAUGGAUGGAUCAACCCAGCGUUUGAACUAAAUCGGGUUGUCCUUAUGCACAGCAUGAUAGGGUGUAACAAUUACCCUGUAUGGAUUAUCCUCCUACACAAUGAUUCAGUGUGCAGGACACACAAUGAGCAGGCUGGCCGCAGGGCUGGAUCUAGGCUAACGAGCUCGGUGGAGUUUAAAUGGCCCAGUGUAACACUGACAAAACCCGAGGGUGAUACUGCUCUCUGUAUUAGACAGCACUUUCUCUGUCAGGGCCGGCCACAUUUAUCUGACAGGCUGUGUACGAUAAUACCUCUUGAGGGCUUAGAGUGAAUUAGGUUGUUAGUACAUAUUGUGACACAGAUGUUGUGGCUAUUUUUUCUAUUACUGUAUGGAAAAUUGGGUUCAGAUGGAUUAGGAAAUUAAUCUCCAUAUGCAGCGUUGAAUUGUUUCUCCCUAAUACGCAGCGAGGUUAAUGAGUGUGAAUCACUUUCAUAUUUGGGUCAGGUGCAGGUGAUCUUACAGCAACAGUUUGACCCUGAUUCAAAGUAUGAAAACAUUGGUCAACAUUAAAAAAGACCCUGCCUUCAGUAACGGUAAUAUACACUUAAAUUGACAACUGCAGUGCUAGGAUGAUAUGUUAUAUUAAACUGCAGGUCUGUAUGCACAUCAAUAUGCAGCCCAGUCUUGACAUGAUAUGGUGUGUUAUAUUUUGUAAGGGUUCGAUCUAGGUUCCACUGUGACUGGAAUGGACUGACGUACGAUUUUAUGUAUGUGUGAGCUGCUCUUGAAAUGCUGCAAAUGAAUUGCCCUUUUGGGAUCAAUAAAGUUUUCUGAAUCUGAAUCUGAAUCUGAUGUGACAUGUAAAUGUAACGUUGUCAACGGUUUACACAAGUUCAGAUUUUUCAAUAAAAGCAGGUACAACCAAAUGACUUUGAACUCAAGUGGGGACUGAUAUUUAUAUAUCUAUUAAUGGGAUCUGUGCAAAACUCAAAAACCAUAGAUAUCCCGUCUUUUUCUAUAAGUUAGAUUCCGUCUCAUCUCCUUUGGUGAGAUGUUGAAGAGAAUCAUCAGAACAAUUAAACUGACACUUGACAUGUUAAGACUGUCAAGAGUCAGUCUGGCUGUGUUAUUUUUGUGAUUAGCGCACCGUGUUACUCGUAUGUAUUCAUAAAUAUGCAUGUGAAUGUAUGUAGAUCUAUAUGUGAGUGCGCAUGUGUGUGUGUACAUGUGUGUCAGGGAGUAAUUAUGGGGAAUAAAGGCCUGGUUGUACAGAGUGAAACUGUGGGUUUUGAAGUGAGAUGGAAGAUGCUUUUCUGUUUGGCUGAGCAGACUCAAUGGUCCCAUUCAACCAGCCCCCUUACCGCCCAUUGUCCUCCCACCACCACCAGCCCAACACACACACACACAAACACACACACAUGCACGGCUGUAGGGGCUCAGUGGUAGGCUUUUGGAGUAGAUGCCUGGAGGAGAGAGGAAUAUAUUGCUGAAUCUUUUUUUGUCAAGUGAGUAAAAGAGGGAUGGACAACAUGAAUGAAAAUAAUUAUGCACAACUCUUCAACUUCGAUUUUUAUUUGAUAUUUUAAUCCAAAUGUUAGCUUCUUUACAUUAAGUGUACUCAAGAAAUCGCUAACCUAAACAUGGACUCUUUUUUUGGUCCAGUUUCUUCACGGUUUCUCAGGUCUGAACAUCACAUGCCAUCGCCCUCAAAUGCUCUAAGUUAGAGCCCUCAUCCAGCGGUUAACCAGCUCCAUACAACAUUUGAACCCUUUGCACAAUGGCUCGUAUACGAACACAUGGUGGACACACAAUAGUCUGGCCACGGUUAUGAGGAAGCCGCACUUGUCAGGGGUUAAUGAUUGUGGGCCAUUGGUUUGGAGCCCAUUAAGACAUUGAUCCGGCCGCGUCUUUUAUGCCACCUGGGGAAAGGAAUGUGCCGGGUCUCCUAUUGUGUCUGUCUCUGUGUCUGCGAGUGUCACAGAGUGGUCAUAUAAUCUGUGUGUGUGUGCGUGCGUGUGUGUCCAAGAGAGGCCAAUCAAAGGAGAAUGGGGCUGGGAGUCACACACUGUGCAGAGACAGUGGAGGGUUAAAAAUUCCUGAGGUCACUUGGUCAAGGGUCACUUGGUGUGGAUUAACACAAACGCAAAAUGAAGACACGUUCAGGACUUACAUUAAAACAGUGCCUGAAAAAAAAAAAAACACUUGGGAGGAAGAUAAAUGAUAAUGCAGAGCUCAGCACCUUUCAGGGCUACGUGAGGCGCAUACUUACACAGCACACACACAAAGGGAAGAAAGGAGCUUCAUUCAUAGCUGCUUCUAUUAGUUGGCUGAAUUUAUUGCCUUCUCUUAUAAAAAAAAAUCCUUCAUUAGAAACAAUUGAACUUCUCCAUGGAUGGAAAACACCUAAUUACAAGUGCUGUUGGUUGUUAGAUUGAGCAGCUUCUUCAUGCACUUCUGCUAUUUUUGAACAGAGGUGACUGUCUCUGCAUUUAUUGAUGUUGGUUUGGAUCUGGCAGAUGAUUCUGUAAAAAUAUGGGUGGAUGUCAAAGCUGUAACUCUCUUCAUUAAAUUAGAUAAAAAUAAAGAAAUUUGGAUCAUGGUUUACAAGGUACAAAGCGCCAAACUUUAAAUAUCAUUUCAGAUUUAACUUUUUUUUUUUUCACAACUACAAAGAUUAUUCAUUUUGCAAAGGCCAAUCAUUACACCAACUUCUGAUGAACAUUAUAGAUGUGCUUAUAGGACAAAAUCUGUUUACUAAUUGGGUUAAUUGUUCUCAGGUGAGUAACAUGACUAUAAGUAAUUAAAAAAAAGGCAUGACAGAGAGCCUGAACCAACCUACAGCAAAGAUGAGAAGAGGUUCAUCUCUCUUUGGGGAACUGUGUGAGCAAAUAGCUUUACGUUUUUUAAAAUUAUGAAACAGGAAAUAUUUCUGCACAAAAGGGACAAGGUCUGAAACCAAUACUGGAUGCCUGUGAUCUUCAGGCAGUACUUCAUUAUAAACGAUGUGACUCUGUAGUGGAAAUCGAUGCAUGGGCUCAAAAUCACAUCCAAGAAGCAGAACACAGUUUGUCGCUGUUUCCACAAAUGUUGGUUAAAACUGUUCAUACAAGGAGGAAACCAUCUAUAAACAAAUGAAAUGAUGUCGACAUCUCUGAGACCGUUAAAGAUGGACUGAGGCAAAGUGGAAAACUGUCCCGUGGUCUGAUUUCUUUUGGGAAAUCAUAAACAAUGCAUCCUCCAUCCUCUGGACCACAGGAAGAUGCCAAACAACACUUUGCAAACAUGGCUCCGGACUAGAAGAAUCUGGGUGCUGAACUGGCCUGCCUGCAGCCCCAGAUUGUCACUCAUCAGAACAUGUGGUGCACAUGGUGACACCAACAAUAUGCCGAGGAAGGGCCUGAUCUGUUGAGCAGCUGACUUCUAUAUCUAGCAAGAUCACUUUCAAAACUUCAGACUGGUCUUCUUGGUUUCCUAACAUUUCCAAAGCAUUGUUAAAAAAGAGGCGACACAACAGAAGGGUCAACACCGUACUGAACCCACAUUUCUGCCAUUAUAUCAUUGUGGGAAUGAUCCAUCAUACUUCAAGCCAAUAUAAGCUCACCAUUGCUGUGGAUUUGAUCAAACUGUCUACCACCAUGUAUUAUCACCAGCUUAUUAGCUCGGCCACAUAACCAAGAAAGACCCCCAUAUUCUCCAUAUUUAAAAGUAAUGAAAAGGGUUUUUUGGAUUUGGCUCAGUUCCUGAAUUUGUGACUUGUUUUUAGCUCAUGUCUAGAUCUGAGCCAUAAUGUGUUUACAGCUGUUGGACAAAACCAGCAUGUAAUUAAAGUCAAAACGAGCCUGUCUGGCAGUGCCUGUGCCAUCUAAGAGUUACUAAACACUUCAGGGCUCAAAAAGGUUAUAAUCUCUAAAUUCUCAUAAUCUGACAAGUUUUCAGGACAGCUUUAGUAAGAGAUAAAUAAAUCAAGGAUUCUCUUUUUGUUGACUGCACCUAAACUUUGUCCUGAACUUUCUAUGAGUUUUUUUUAUUUAACAUCUGUUGGAUCUCAGACUUUCUAAAACCCCUCGAAACCACAGCUGGGGUUUAGGGUAGGAGGUUCACAGGGUCCCUAAACAUUGUGAGGCAGCCAUGUAAUCAGGGUUGAACUUGAGGAAGGAAAGAAAGUGAUGUCCAACACAAGAUGAGGUGUGUGUGUGUGUGUGUGUGUGUGUGUGUGUGUGUGUGUGUGUGUGUGUGUGGGCAAUUGGGAUGUGGCGGUGAUGGGGUAGGGGGCUGUCCUGUGAUGGCAGGACAAUAGACAUCGGCAGCAGCUGACCAGAGAAUCUCCUCUUCUUUUGUCAUUCUGUAUAAUGACGUCUCCACCACACACACACACACACACACACACACACACACACUGUCCCUUCUACCCCCUUCUGGGCCUGAUUUGGCUUAAAGGGACUUCUGCAUCUUAUGUUGCCUGUACGUCUUUUUCUACAUCUGUGUUUGUGCUUGUGUUUGCGUUUGAACAUAGCGUUUUCUGACCUCUGCUCUCUAAGAAUGUAUCCUCUGAGAUACUCUCUCAACUCAGUAAAUAUCUCCACUGCAGGCCAUAUGUUUUCUGUAUUUAAAUCUAGCUCCCAUCUGUCUACAGCCUGUGUGUAUUGACGUCUGCUUCACUUCGCUCUUAGUCAAAGUUGAAUAGUUUCGAACUAAGAACUUAAAUCCUGAACUCAAAAAAUAAAGAACAGUUAAAGAGGAAACAAAAUUUGCCUCUUUUUUUCCCAGUUCGACAAAGUAUCUGCUUUAGUAUAAUCAUAAAUAAGCAUGCAACAAAAGAUUAUUCAAAGAAGGGUCUGUGUAAAGCAAGGAUCUGGCUGGGCAGGGGGCAUCCUGGCUGCUGGAUGGGGAACAACCUGAAGGUCCUAGGGGUAUCAUUUUCAAGGAGGAAAAAAGCUCUGGUUUCAUCCUCAAAAUUCAAGCACCUGUGAGGAGCUAGUUAUGAAACACAGAAUAUAAAAGUGGUGUCUCUUGAUGGCUUUGACGGUGUCAUUUACAUUGUUUUCAGUGUUUAUACCACUGGCAGCAGGCAGAUGUCACACAAAGUGAAUCUUGCACACUUACAUAAAAGAUGAGAGAAUAUAUAAAAAAGAUGAGAAUGAUAUGAGAAAUGAGAUCUAGAGAUAUGAGAUGAGAAAAAAUAUGAGAGAUAUAUUUUACGCUUUGUACCCAGGCUGGCCCCCUCUUUACCUCCUCUCUAUGAAAGCACACCAAAGUCUGAUUCAGUUUGUGAUCUCAUGGUUAUUUUUCUGUAGGAGUAAGUGUGUUUUUGCCUGUUUGAUAGCUCUCCUCCAGCCAGCACCAGGUGAUAUGGCCCGGUACGGAAGGUCAGCGCAGUGAUGUCACUUCCCCUUCCUCUCCGGAUAUUCCCAG